GUGCCAGCCGCCGCGGUAAUACGGAGGGUGCAAACGUUGCUCGGAAUCAUUGGGCGUAAAGCGCACGUAGGCGGUCGAGUAAGUCGGGUGUGAAAGCCCUGGGCUUAACCCAGGAAGUGCAAACGAAACUACUCGACUUGAGUACUGAAGAGGGUCGCGGAAUUCCCGGUGUAGAGGUGAAAUUCGUAGAUAUCGGGAGGAACACCAGUGGCGAAGGCGGCGACCUGGGAAGAUACUGACGCUGAGGUGCGAAAGCGUGGGGAGCAAACAGGAUUAGAUACCCCGGUAGUCC
rnacentral:rRNA from 1 species